AGCGGAGGAAAAGAAACCAACAGGGAUUGCCUCAGUAACGGCGAGUGAAGCGGCAAAAGCUCAAAUUUGAAACCCUCGGGAUUGUAAUUUGAAGAUUUGGYAUUGGAGAAAGCUAACCCAAGUUGCUUGGAAUAGUACGUCAUAGAGGGUGACAACCCCGUCUGGCUAACCGUUCUCCAUGUAUUGCCUUAUCAAAGAGUCGAGUUGUUUGGGAAUGCAGCUCAAAGUGGGUGGUAAACUCCAUCUAAAGCUAAAUACUGGUGAGAGACCGAUAGCGAACAAGUACUGUGAAGGAAAGGUGAAAAGAACUUUGAAAAGAGAGUGAAAUAGUAUGUGAAAUUGUUGAUAGGGAAGGAAAUGAGUGGAGAGUGGCCGAGGUUUCAGCCGCCCCUCGUGGGCGGUGUACUGCCGACGCCGAGUCAUCGAUAGCGAGACGAGGGUUACAAAUGGGAGCGCCUUUCGGGCGUUCUCCCCUAACCCUCCACACUGCCACCGACGACAAUCCUUCCGGUUG
rnacentral:rRNA from 1 species